rnacentral:rRNA from 1 species
UUGAACGCUGGCGGCAUGCCUUACACAUGCAAGUCGAACGGUAGAGGGGCAACCCUUGAGAGUGGCGGACGGGUGAGUAAUGCAUCGGAACGUGCCCAGUCGUGGGGGAUAACGCAGCGAAAGCUGUGCUAAUACCGCAUGUGAUCUGUGGAUGAAAGCAGGGGACCGCAAGGCCUUGUGCGAUUGGAGCGGCCGAUGUCAGAUUAGCUAGUUGGUAGGGUAAAAGCCUACCAAGGCGACGAUCUGUAGCUG